CCCAGAACAAGCGGUUCAAGUCACCCACGUUAAGAGGAGCCCUCCGCGAGGUGACUCAUGCGGAGAAGCACAGGAGCGCUGCGCCUCAGAGACGAAAACAUCCUUCCAGAGGGGCUGGCGGCGCGUACACAGGGAUGUUAAAAUUAGAACAGCCGCGUUGGGGUUCUCGUAAUUAGAAAUGCAGCCGGUGCCACAGGAAUCCAUAAUGGGCCUCCUCCAGGCUUCCGAGGGGGAGGCUGGGGUCAGCGUGUGAAUAUUCAUGAGGUGCCAGGAGAGGGUCCCUGGGGGCUGCCGCUGCACCGCUGCGAGACAGGGGGGGAGGCUUGUGCGGUGCUCCCUGCUUGGCCGCUCACCAGCACCGUCAUGCAGCCACAGCCAAAUUCCCGAGGCAGGAAGCGGGGCUGCGCGAGGACCGUUAUCUGCGCCGACCAGGUGCUGGCGUUCUCCAUGUCUUUCCCUUCUCUCCUCAGCAGCCUGGAAAGGGGGAUCAGUCUCCCCACUUACAGCUGGGGAAGGAGAAGCUGCGGCGGGUGACUCGAGUGCGUCGGGCUUGACUCGCUCUGUCAUCAGUGGGACGUGGCUGGGCAGGAGCCUUGAGUGCCCUCUCCGCCCCCCCCAUCCGUCUGUCUGUCCUGCCUUCUGUUUCCGUCCGUCCCUGCUCUCCCGCCAGGUCAGGCCCCUACGUGAAACAGGUGUCACUAACAGGCCCACCCUAGAAGGGUACAGUUCAGUGGCUUCCCACACAGCCCCGGUCUUACAACAUCACUGCGGUUCCAUCGCUGCUUCCCCUGGCCCCAUAAAGAGACACUCACAGGCACCGGGGGAUGAUUCACUGCAGCAAGUGGUCUUCACAAGGGGCCCAGCUUCAGUCCCCACAGGGAAGAGGCCCUGAGCCUGCGGGUGUCAUCUCCCACCCGAAAGUGGAAAGGAAAUACUCGCCCUGCACGCCCCAGCCCCACCCUCCGCCUCUGCUCAGCCCAAAGCAAGCAAAACUCUGCUUCCUGUCCGUAUAGAUCUGUCUCCUCAGGGCUUUCUGAUCGAUGUCUGGUCAAUCAGACAGUGACACACGGGCUUUCGCGACUGACUUCUCCCACUGAGCGGCGUGGCUUCCGGGUUCCUCUGUACAGUUUCAUGAGUAAAUGCUUUUUAAAAAAAAUUACCAAAUAAUAUUUGUUGAAUUGAAUCUCCGCAUUCCAUUUAUUCAUUAACCAACGGGU